rnacentral:rRNA from 1 species
AGAAUCAACGCUGGCGGCGUGCCUAACACAUGCAAGUCGAACGAGAAAGUGGAGCAAUCCAUGAGUACAGUGGCGACCGGGUGAGUAACACGUGACCAAUCUACCUUCGAGUGGGGGAUAACUCCGGGAAACCGGGGCUAAUACCGCAUAACAUCUUUGGAAUGCAAAUUCCGUUGAUCAAAGGAGCAAUUCGCUUGAAGAGGAGGUCGCGGCUGAUUAGUUAGUUGGCGGGGUAAUGGCCACCAAGACGAAGAUCGGUAUCCGGCCUGAGAGGGCGCACGGACGACACUGGAACUGAAACACGGUCCAGACUCCUACGGGAGGCAGCAGUGGGGAAUUUUGCGCAAUGGGGGAAAACCCUGACGCAGCAAACGCCGCGUGGAGGAUGAAGCCCCUUGGGGUGUAAACUCCUUUCGAUCGGGAAGAUAAUGACGGUACCGAUAUAAGAAGCCCGGCUAACUUCGUGCCAGCAGCCGC